UUUUGUUUUUUUUGGUGCUGGCUUUGAUUGGAACGAUGCAGAGAAUUAGCAUGGCCCCUGCACAAGGAUAACACACGCAAAUUCGUGAAGCGUUCCAUAAUUUA